GAACCGGCCCACACAGGGUUAACCGUGGCAGGGGCCGGCUGCCCGGGAGGCUGAAACAAGAGGCCAGGGCAGUGCUGGAGCCUCCAGGGAGGCCAGCUUGGGUUUCAGAAGUGUGCUGAAUCACCCCAAGGCCCGGGAAUCAAGGAAGCGUGGGUGAACUGGGGGAGCAAGUUUGGUUUGGAGCUGCAGGGAGCACCAAGAGGUCAUUUCUGCCAACUCUUUUCUUUUGUGGCUGCUACAACUGCAGAGUGAGCCUAGAGCCCAGAACAUCUGACUGGGGUCCGGGGCUCUCCCGGGAGACCCCGACACUUCUGUUUCAAGCUCAGUUUGAACUAAGUCACAAUACCCUGGCCUCAGUUUGCUCAUCCCCAGCAAUGGGAUGGUUGAGCCAGGUGGGUAAGAAGAUCACUCUUAGUGCUCACGUUCUGAGAUUGUGUGACAACAGAAAGAGUCCUGGCUUAGGAGCCCACGGGCCCGGGCAGUCAAUCCUGCCCAUGUCAGUCACUGGUGUGUGACUUUGGGCCCUCUCCCUUCGGUGAAUGGACUAGUAUUCUUGGAGGCCCCUUCUGCUUCCAAAGCCAGGUUUCUGAUUGGAUCCUCAGCAUCUGGCACAUAGUAGGUGCUCACUUAGUCCCUGAUGGAGCGACAUAAUGCCUGUCACCAAUACUUUUGUGUGUGAGAGUCACCCACACAGAGACACACAGAAUGUCAGAAUAGUCUAACAUAUUCAUUAUGUUAGUGAGGAAACUGAGGUGAAGGCAGACUGUGGGGAAAGUUUCCAGCUUCAUUAUUUCCCUUUCUCCACAGGUGCUCAGGAGACUCCCUCGGCUAAUGGGCGGCUCCUGUUGGUCUGCAGCCUCCACCUCAAGAACCUGGGGGGGGAGGGGAGAAGGACAUUCCCCAAUCUGGGGCAAUCGAGAGGAACAGGGUCCCUGGUCGUGAGCCCUGUAACUCAGGGGCCCAACUGCGCCCCCACGGCUUCCGGAGCUCGCUGGGGUUAAUCAUUGCGGAGGGGCCGGGCCAAGUCAUUACCGGGUCCACCUGUCGACUCCUGCUGUUUGCCGGACCUCACACAACCUGUUCCAUUGUUUGCCCAGACCGCCCGCACUUCCUGCAGCGGGCAGAGCCAGGGAGGAGUCGAGCCUCCAGCUGCCACAGAGGGAUCAUUGAACUUUCACGGAGACGAGCUGCCGCUCUGAUCAAUUAUUCAGAAAGCAGCCUCAGGUGGGGCUGGCGCAGGGGAGCCAGGCUCAGCAGCAGCCCCGGCACGGGCUCCCUCACGCAGCGCGGAGAUGGCCGGGAGCCGUUGGGGUGAGCCCGGAAAGUCAGGACCUAGUUCACAAAUAUUUGCCCUUGGAGGAGAAGCGCCUUCCUGCCUCUCUCCAGUCAGUCGUGUCCCAGUCUCCAUGGGUGUCAAAGGGACGCUGUCCAAAGGCGGGACCUGCUUGGGAUGCCGCAGCCCCAGGAAACAGGCUCUCUGCCGGGCACUGGGCGCCUGGGAAGCCUUGACCAAGGGUACCGAUGGCCUAGUAUGCCAUGGAUUAUUAAGGCUGACUCAGGAGCUGGCCGGCGGGCCCUCAGUCGUCACCUCCACUUUUGGGGAAAGUACUUAAGUGAAGAAACAAGCCUCAUUGGGUUAGGGUUAGCUAGCAUGCAAAGCCUCUGGGAUGAGGUCAUGUGGUACUUUUAAGAAAAAGCCUCAACUCCCUGUAAGGAAAGACUCCAGAGCUCCAGACCCUGGGCAGAGGACGUGACACACCUAGACAGGUUGGAAGAACUGAAGGAAGCCAUCAGCUCCUUGAGCCACGCUGGGAAAUGAAAGAAUUGGACUCGAUGGCUUCUCGGGACCCGUCAAGCCCCAGAUCCAAGUAUCCUAUGAAGCAAAUCAUUGCAGCUAGAGAAGGAAGAGAAGUGGAAAGGGAAUCACCCUGAAAAGGAGAUAAUGACUUUCCCCUCAAUCUUAGUCUUCCAUCAAAACGUGAAUGACCACUUGACAGGGACACCACAGAAGGAUUUUUUUCCAGGUCCAGAUUGGAUGAUAUGUCUCGGAAUUUCUUCCAACUCUGACAUUCUGGGAUUUGAAAUGCACCACUGAGCUGUUUGAAGGUCAAAAGACAAAUGCGAAUUAACAGCAUUUAUUAAGUGCUGACUGUAUUCAAAGAGUUAUCCUAAGCAUAGAAAAAGAUGUGGGAAGAUAAAUGAAAUAUGGACAGGAGAUGAUGAGCCAAACUCAAAAUGCCUGUUUGAUAGUUAACGGUGAUUCCCUCAGUCUGUUCAUUCCUUAGAAGUUUGUAGGGCACCCAGCCUGGCUAGCUGCUAAGGCUGAGCCGGAAUGAGUGAGGGAGGCUGGGCCUAGGGUGGACACAAGAGGGCCUCGAAGAUCCCUUUGUCUAGCAGUAGCUGCCUUCUAGUGGGUUCUCCUCCUUUGUCCAGGAACACUGGGAUCUCCUUGUGGCCAGUAACACUUGAGUGCCUUCGGUGCUUUCACAGUGCCCAUCAUCAGAUAGCAGGUUGUUGUUGUUGUUGUUUUAACAAGUAUUGAUGAAGUUGAAUAUUCAAUAGAAUGAAAUGAAGUAGUUGAGUUGGCAAUUCUCUCUGUCUGUCCCUCUGUUUCUCUGUAUAUGAACAGAAGAUAUUUAUACAUUAGAAGUGCAGGGGAUGCUCCUCACUGGGGUUCAGUGUUUUCUUUGAUAUAUCUCAUCACCUCUGAACUGCCAUAGUCUGCUGGCUGAUCAUCCUACCUCAAGGUUCUCCCUUCUUUAGGCCAUCCUCCAUUAAUUCAUCAAACUAAGCUUCCUAAAUCACAAAUCUGAGCACCCCACACUGUUCAGUCAGUUCUGAUGGUUCCCUAUCAUCUCCAGGAUCAACUAUAUAACCUUCUGUUUUGGUACUUAACUCCCUGUAUGAGCGAGCUCUUUCCUAGCUGUGGCGAAACUGAGGCAGUUAAUGACUACUAAUCAUCUUAAUUUGACCCCACUCCUUUAUUGCCCAGAGGAGGCUGGGUUAACCAGGGAAACAGAAUCAGGCAAUUAGCAGACAGACUGAGCAUCCCUUGAACUGGGCAUCCCAAGGUCCUUUGUUUGCUUGCUGAACUCAGAGUUCCCUCUGCUGUACUGGCUCAGACUAGCUCAUGCUGACCCCCAAUAAACCAAGGAUCCCGUGGGGGUCGCAGGGGACCCCAAUGGCCAGCCCUGAUGAGGUCAUGAUGCAAUUUAACCUCCCCUCUGGGAUUUUUUGUCUCUCUAACCUCUUGCUGCUGUACCCCACCAUGAGCUCAGUCCCGGCUGCAGAUUCCCAGGCCAGCUUGAGAGGAGCAGUCUAAUAUUAUUCUCUCUUUCUCACACCCAAUUCUGAGGUUGACUUUUUCUGGUCUUUUUAUACUUUACUCCAUUCCCCACUCCCCCUCCACCUCAUGCAUCUGGACAUCCAGUAACCCCGGCUGACUAGUUCCUUUCUUUGAAUGUCCAGCUCUUACCUCAAUGCCUAGCAUACAAUGGGCAUUUCAUAAGUACUUAUUUGAGCAGAUAAGUGGUGAAGUGAAUAGAGCACUAUUCCUGGAGUCAGGAGGACCUGAGUUCAAAUCUUACCUGAGAAACUUACAAGCUGUGUGACCCUGGGCAAGCCACUUAGCCCUCUUUGUCUCAGUUUCUUCACUUGUACAAUGAGCUGGAGAAGGAAAUGGCAGCCCACCCCAGUAUUGUAAUGCCGGAGAAACUGAGGCAAGAUAGAAAUUAGAGAGUUUUUAAUAUUUUAUUUGGAUUUCUGAGAGGGAGAGAUUUCCUGGGACCAAAAGAUCCAUUUUGGUCCCAGGGCUGAUGUUUUAAAGCAUUCAGCAGCAGCAGCAGCCUCGAAUGUGAGAUUCCAGUGAAUCAUACAUGACCCCCAAAAUCAGGAGAUAAAGGCAAGGGGGUGGAGUCCAGGUAGGGACCAUCAAUUUGGUUCUGACAGGCUUGGGGUAGGACCAUAAAUCUGAUAAACUGGAAGUGAAGGGAGUAGUUAGUUAGAGACAGGAAGUCUGGAAUUUAGAGAUAGGGGAUGCCAGUUAGGUAUCUGUAUAGGGCAUCUGGAGUCUUAGCUUUUGGAAUGCCAGAGUGGCAAGAUCUCCACAGCCCUAAUUAUCUCAGUCCUAAGGAACAGGAAGGGGGUUGCAACCAGGGGGACUGAGGCAGAACAAUUCAAGGAACUGAGACAGGACAACUUAGGGAAACUGAGGGAGGACAAUAAAAGGAAACUGUGACACAAUAGUUUCUUUACCUCCCAAAACCCAAAUGGUGUCAGGAAGAGUUGGACAAAACUCAAAUGAUUCAACAUUAGCAUUGUUUAUUGACUAACUGACAUAUUCUCCAUAAUGAGGGUUGAGUCAAUGGCACUAGAAAAGAGAUCCUCUCCCAUGUUUAUCAUGGGGGUUAGAUUCCUGAUUGGGCAAUGUAAUUAGUCUUGCUCUGGGAGAGUGAGUCUCAGUAUUGCUACACUGAUCUAUAGUCCUUUGUAAAAUGUAAUUGAUAUUAAUUGGUUAAUGAAUGUUAUUUUAAUAAUAAUACUAAAUCUCCAAUAAUAAUUGGAGAUAUUUUAACGAGUUGAUUGAUUUGGGGGCGUUCACAUGGGCUGUGGGUUCAUAAAUGAUUUUAGGGAAAACUACCCCCAACCUCUAGAGUUAUACCCGAAAAUCUGAGGAGGAGAGGAGUCAUGCUGCCGUCUGGGGACCCAGCCUUCAAGUCUGCAUGGAGUGCUCCAGAGAUCUCUAGCCUCAUCCUACAAGGUAGCAUUUAUUUUUCAAGAAACAGUCUCCCCACUCCUCUCCACCGAGAACAAUGAAAUUAGAUCAAUAGACUUCUGGGCAAUGGGCUGUGAUGUGCAGCUCAUUUGGAAGAGAAUGGGAAAUACA